rnacentral:rRNA from 1 species
UGAACGCUAGCGGGAGGCUUACACAUGCAAGUCGAGCGGUAAGGCCCCUUCGGAGAUACACGAGUGGCGCACGGGUGAGUAACGCGUAUGCAACCUACCUUGAACUGAGGGAUAGCCCAUGGAUACGUGGAUUAACACCCCAUAAAAUUAUAGAGCUGCAUGGUUCAAUAAUAAAAAUUCCUGUGGUAUAAGAUGGGCAUGCGUCUGAUUAGCUAGAUGGUAAGGUAAUGGCUUACCAUGGCAACGAUCAGUAGGGGUCCUGAGAGGGUUACCCCCCACACUGGUACUGAGACACGGACCAGACUCCUACGGGAGGCAGCAGUGAGGAAUAUUGGUCAAUGGAGGCAACUCUGAACCAGCCAUCCCGCGUGCAGGAUGACGGCCCUAUGGGUUGUAAACUGCUUUUCUGCACCAAGAAAUACCCCGACGUGUUGGGGCUUGACGGUAGUGUAGGAAUAAGCACCGGCUAACUCCGUGCCAGCAGCCGCGGUAAUACGGAGGGUGCAAGCGUUAUCCGGAUUUAUUGGGUUUAAAGGGUGCGCAGGCGGCUUUGUAAGUCAGUGGUGAAAUCCUGCCGCUUAACGGUAGCCUUGCCAUUGAUACUGAAGGGCUUGAGUACGGUUGAGGUAGGCGCACUGUGUGGUGUAGAGGUGAAAUGCAUAGAUAUCACACAGAACACCGAUUGCGAAGGCAGCUUACUAAACCAUUACUGACGCUGAGGCACGAAAGCGUGGGGAGCGAACAGGAUUAGAUACCCUGGUAGUCCACGCCGUAAACGAUGUUCACUCGCUGUCUGCGAUACACAGUAGGCGGCUAAGCGAAAGCAUUAAGUGAACCACCUGGGGAGUACGAUCGCAAGGUUGAAACUCAAAGGAAUUGACGGGGGCCCGCACAAGCGGAGGAACAUGUGGUUUAAUUCGAUGAUACGCGAGGAACCUUACCUGGGCUUAAAUGUAGAUUGCAUAAUUUAGAAAUAGGUUUUCCCUUCGGGGCUAUUUACAAGGUGCUGCAUGGUUGUCGUCAGCUCGUGCCGUGAGGUGUCGGGUUAAGUCCCAUAACGAGCGCAACCCCUAUCGUUAGUUGCCAGCGGGUCAAGCCGGGGACUCUAGCGAGACUGCCACCGUAAGGUGUGAGGAAGGUGGGGAUGACGUCAAAUCAGCACGGCCCUUAUGUCCAGGGCUACACACGUGUUACAAUGGCCGAUACAAAGGGCAGCUACCUGGUGACUGGAUGCUAAUCUCCAAAGCCUGUCCCAGUUCAGAUUGGAGUCUGCAACCCGACUCCAUGAAGUUGGAUUCGCUAUAAUCGCGCAUCAGCCAUGCGCGGUGAUACGUUCCCGGCAUUGUACACACCGCCCGUCAACCA